rnacentral:pre_miRNA from 1 species
UAUUAAAAAUUUCAUUCAUUUCUAUUGUUAUAAACUAACGUAAAUAGAAUAGCUGAACAAUUACAUGUGGAGUGUCUCGCGUAUCUUAUUUUGAUAUACAAAUACUAAUUUUAACGGUAUAAAUUUAUAAAAUUUUUAAUA